UACGGGGGGGGCAAGCGUUGUUCGGAAUUACUGGGCGUAAAGGGCUCGUAGGCGGCCAACUAAGUCAGACGUGAAAUCCCUCGGCUUAACCGGGGAACUGCAUCUGAUACUGGAUGGCUUGAGAUUGGGAGAGGGAUGCGGAAUUCCCGGUGUAGAGGUGAAAUUCGUAGAUAUCGGGAGGAACACCAGUGGCGAAGGCGGCGAUCUGGGAAGAUACUGACGCUGAGGUGCGAAAGCGUGGGGAGCAAACAGG
rnacentral:rRNA from 1 species